CUUACCACGUGCUAGGUAAGCACUCACUGGUCCGAGCGAGCCGUGGAUUACUACGUGCAGGACGGGGAGAGAAAAGGGGGGACUUGGAGGGGCCGAGACCUCAGGAAAAGCCCAGAAAGUCACAGAAGGGAAGGGUUCGAAGAGGAUUCCUGGAAGGAGGAGGACCUAGGCUGGGUGUUUCUAUUUUUAAUUUUUACUGGUUUCCUAAGCCAGAAAAGU
rnacentral:lncRNA from 1 species